GACGAACGCUGGCGGCGUGCUUAACACAUGCAAGUCGAGCGAUGAAGUUCCUUCGGGAAUGGAUUAGCGGCGGACGGGUGAGUAACACGUGGGUAACCUGCCUCAUAGAGGGGAAUAGCCUUUCGAAAGGAAGAUUAAUACCGCAUAAGAUUGUAGUUUCGCAUGAAACAGCAAUUAAAGGAGUAAUCCGCUAUGAGAUGGACCCGCGUCGCAUUAGCUAGUUGGUGAGGUAACGGCUCACCAAGGCGACGAUGCGUAGCCGACCUGAGAGGGUGAUCGGCCACAUUGGGACUGAGACACGGCCCAGACUCCUACGGGAGGCAGCAGUGGGGAAUAUUGCACAAUGGGGGAAACCCUGAUGCAGCAACGCCGCGUGAGUGAUGACGGUCUUCGGAUUGUAAAACUCUGUCUUCAGGGACGAUAAUGACGGUACCUGAGGAGGAAGCCACGGCUAACUACGUGCCAGCAGCCGCCGUAA
rnacentral:rRNA from 1 species